CCUAAGGGCGCCACUAUUAUUUUAAUCACAAAACCCUUCAUCCAAGGGCUGAAAACUGAUAAGCACCGAUAACUCGAUAUUACUAGAAAUAUUCCAGCUCAAUUUUAUAUAUAUAUAUAAAUAUAUAUAUAUAUAUAGAGAGAGAGAGAGUUCAGCUACUAUACUAUUGAUAGUAUCAAGCUCUUAAUACUAUAGAGUUUUCUGCCGUUAGAUUUACGCGUUGAAUAUUUCCACCCAUUAUAUUAUACUAUUUAACCAACCACCCACUCAAUCCUAGGAACUAGUAUCGUCUUAACCGCACACCCUUUCAUCCAAUGAUCAAAAGCUAGAUAGCACAACGCGCUUGAUACUAUCGAUGGUAUAUAUAGUAACAUAGUUCAUAUAUAGAUUUAUAUAUAUAUAUAUUAUUCAAUUUGAGCUCAAGUAUUUUGGUUGAGAUUUUAGGUGUGAUGAAUUAGUUGGAGCCUAAUAAUAUAGACUUUUGGUCAAAUUCAGCUUCACAGUAAACCAAUGAAGUCCCAAUACAAACUUAAUUUGCUUCCCCUUUCAUAUGCAUCCACAUAAACUUUUUGAUCUCCCUUUGCUGGAGAGAGAAAUUAUAUAUACUUUGACCUGCAUAAUCUAACAACACGGUUCAAAUAAUACUUUGGCCUGCAUAGUUUUACUGCAAAAUAUAUUGUUAUUUUUUAAAGUAUUAUUUGAACAGUACUUUAAGACGAUAAACUACAUAUAUUAAGUUCUUUUUACCAAUUCUACACUAAAAUUAGAAUAUCUAAAAUAGGGCUGUGCCUUGGGCCUCACAAUUUAAUCGUUGCUUUAUACUACAGUAAUAGAUGCAGGUUGAUUGGUAAUUGCUCGAUCAGAAAUGGUUGUAUUUGGAAAUAGAAUUGAAAGUAGUAGCAACGAGCUCUUAAUUGUGACUAGCUAUAUCUUGCAAUCAACUCAAACAAGUCAUUUAGUCAAAUCCCAGUGCCAUAGGAAUCCUAUCUUUUAACAUUACCAACAGCUACCGACCGUCCCUAAAACAAGUGGCAAAGGGUUUGGUGGUUGGUAUAUCCGAGAUCCAAUUUCGAAUCCUAGUUGAUUCACAUUUCUAGCUAAGUUUGUUUUUAAAUGAAAUAAACGAAGCGGGUAGCGUGCUACCUAUCUCUUAAAAAAAAAAAAAAAAAAAAAAAAAAAAAAAAAAAAAAAAAAGAGCCAACAGCUUACUUUUGUACAUUAGUAUUUUAUUCGAUAUAUUCUUUUUAUUUAUUCAAAAAAUAUUUGCUAGAUGAAGAUAUAUUGUUUUCCGCGCUCGAAUCAUUUUCUCAAAAAUAAGAAAAUUAUUUCGUAUAUAUGUGAAUUACAUUUUUCUAAUAAAUCAUGACUGUCAUGACUUUACAAGAAGCUAAUAUCGAAUUUGCAGCUUUACAAUCACAAAGUAAAAUCAUCAUAAUAUAGAAGUUAUCGUCUAAUACCUUGACCGGAUCAUCAUUCCUUUUUUUUCUUUUUUCUUUUUUUUUGAGUAUUGGAAACUUGACCCUUCUAUAACCCUACUUUGGUUUAGUUUUGUUCUAUGAUUGGUAUUCAAAAUUUAAAAGUACUUUCAAAACCACAUCCUUCUCAUUGGAAAUAUAAAAAUGGUGCUUUUAACUAACACAUUGCCAAAUUUGGUCUAGAAUAUCUCUAUUUAGUAUAUAUAAAAAUGAGUUAAUUUUAUAGAGCUUUCUAUAAAAUAUAUUGAAUGGCAAAUAUAUUUCUACAAUGUUUAUUUUUUUAUAUUUAUUCCUACAAAAGUUCAGCAAUAUUCAUAUUUGUCCCUCUAAUUUGUUAUCGUUAUAACACUAUUUAUUCUUUAACAGACAUGUUUGUCAUCACAAAUAUGUCUCUUUAAAAGUCCCAACUGUUAAAAUUAUCCAGAAAUGUACUUUUAAAAAUUCCAACCGGUCACCUUCUUCCUUUCUACCACCACGAAUAAUAUAAGAAGAAUAAAAAUGUCAAUUUAUUUCAAUCACUAACCAGAGUUAAGUACUUUACUUAUGUUUAACUAUAUUUUUCUAACGGAUUUCUCUUAUAUAUAUAUAUAUAUUUAAAAACGUUAGGAUUUUUAGAGGAAUAAAUAUGAAAAAUUAAACUUCGUAAUGAUAUAUUUACCAUUCAUUAUGUUUAUAAAAAGCUGUAUGCAAUUAACCCUUCGCAUUGGGAUGUUUUACUUCUAAGAUGCCCAUGGUUUCAUCAUACUUCUCUAAAUUUUACCCUAAAAAUAUAUAUAUAUAUUUUUUAAAACAAACCUUUUUUUUGGAGUUGGGGUGGGUGGGCCCCACCAACGGAACCUCCCCUCGAGUGGGGACCACUUGUGGGUGCCUCAGUUGGAUAGGGCAAGUCCAAAGCUGCCUCCUGGCCCGGGAACAGUUCUUCCCCCCAAUUCAGACCCGAGCCAGGUUGGGUCAGAUCGAGUCAGGUCUGGACCACACACCCCACCGACCCUCCUUACAUUCCAUUGGGCCGUCCGUACGAUCCCGUGGGCCCCACCCCCCGGCGCCUUCGUACCACCGCGACCUUUGCCCUUUCCUACUUUUCUUAUUCUUUUAAUUUAUUUUAUUAUAAUAAUAAUAAUAAUAAUAAAGUGAAGGCGAAUGGCCCCGCCAAAGAAAACCGGGCAAAUUUUGUACUGAUACCCUCCUCAACUACAGGUCGUUUUGAAAUAGACUCCCGUUUAUUUAAAUUAUCCUACUUAGGUAAGUUAAAAAUGGGCAGUACUGUACCCACCGUGCCUAGCGCACAUAAUAUCUGUAGGCAACUAAAUUAGAAUGUACCAUUUUUGGAUAAAAAAUUAUAAUAAACUAAAGUUUGAGAGCCAAUGCGUAACGGAUAUUAAAAGUUUGCGGAUCAAAGGUGCAAUUUAGCGUUAAAAGUUUUAUUCAAUUUAAUAAAUUGAUUAUAUAUUAUUUAUUAUUGUUUUUUAUAAAAAAUGACUAAAAUUACUAAUUUUGAGAAAGUUAGUAAAUGGAACCGAUGGCAAAGUAAUUUAAAAGCACAAAAAUUUUUAUACCUUCAAAAGUACAGUAACCUAGCUCAUGAUAAAAUUUUAUUUUAGUUGGCUAAAGUUCUUAAUUUUACACACAAAAAAAAAUCUAAAGGUAUGUGAAUUUAGCUUCUAUGCUUUAAUGUUUUCUACGCGUCGCUCCCUGCUCUUUGAAAGUAAAAUAAAAAAAAAAUUCAAAAUGUAAUUGUAUAAUAAUGUUUAAUCAUAAUCAUAAUUGGCGCAAUGUUUUUUUUUUUUUUUUAGGUUUACUAGAUGUUAGUUAGAUUGAAAAUUAUGUUAAAUUUAAUUUAAUGAGUCGGUUAGAUGUUAGUUUUUAAUUAUUCUAAUUUUACUCAUAAGAAAACAAUUAAAUUCUUAUAGUUAACAAAAUUAUCAAUAAAUUUGAUGGAAUUUCAAUCUAAUUGACAAAAGGUACUUAUUUUGAGAAAAAAAAAAUACAUGAUCUUAGUUUGAAAUUCUUUUACACCUUACAUAUCAUCGCACUUUGUUCCAUCCGCAUUAAAAAAAUAAAAAUAAAUAUUUAAUCGUCAAUUCAUUUACUGUAAAAAGGAAUAAAAUAGUUGCUUCAUUAAAAAGUUAGUUCGUUUUUAAUAUUUAAGUACGGAAAUAAAUAAUCUCGUAAUACAUAUAUACAGAGAGAGAGAGAGAGAGAGAGAGUUGAGCUGAAAUGCUAUCAACAGUAAACGAACUUCGAUUCCACCCAUUUAUUUUUGAUGAUGGAGUUUUCAAAUCGACAAUCGGCACUGUUGCACAUAAUCUAUACCACUUAGAAGUAUCUAGAAAUUAAAUUUCAAAUCUUUUCGAAAUUAUUGACCUAAUGAUUAAAGGGUUUCAAAACUUGUAAUUUUAAUAGUCGAUAUGAGAUGUUUUCUUAUUUAACGGUACAUACAAAGACAUUCAAAUCAAUUGAAUUUUAGUUAGAAAAUUUUUUAAACAAUUUAGAACAAGAUCUAUACUCUCGAUCUUGAUUACAAGAUUUCUAUUAUCAUUGUUUUAAAAGAUAUUUAUUUUUAGCCGUUUAUUUUGUAUUCACUUAAUGGACACACAAGAGAAUAAUAUCAAAAAAAUAUGAAAUUUAAUUUCUAAAUAUUUUAAGUAGUAUAUAUAUAUAUAUAUAUAUAGAAACAAAAAAAAAAUAAUAAUAAUAAUAAGUAAAAGGGGUCUAGUUUAAACAGCCGUACAGUUGAGGGGGCUCUCCGUGUAUGCAUAUUAUUUUCCGAUGCAGCUUUUUUUAUAAAACGGCACUAAAUUGGGAAGGAAGGAAGGCGGAGGUGGGCCUCUGAGCCUGGCGAGUGUUUUGACCGCUUCCGGUCCGUGCGGUACAUUCGUAUCGCUUCCGAAAGCGACGCCGUGGGCCCCGCCACUAGCGGAGGGUGGGGCCCAAAUUGUACGGAUAAUAUAUGAAUCGUCAGAUUUAAAUCGGACGGGCCCGAACAUUGGUCGGUUGAUCAGAGAGGCAAUUUCGGUAGAAAAUAAAAAGGAUUAACUUGAACUGCACCGUUCAUCCCCAACCUUUAUGUCAGAUUUUUUCAUCCUCUCAAAGAUACAGUUUGAUUCGGGUAUAAAAAAAAAUUAACUAUUACAGGAAUAAGUAUAAGUAUGAGGAUAAAAAAAAUAGUGUUUGGAUGAAAAUUAGGUUGUUUCCGGGGAUAAGAACAAUUUUAGAUAGUUUUAUAUAAAAAAUAAAGGUGUCGGUGGGAAUAACCGAGAAUAGUAAAAUUAGCGUUUGGGUAUAAAGGGGAUACGGGCCUAUUCCUAUCCCUAUCCCCUAACCAAAGGGGCACAGUAAUUUCUAAUCUCUCCUUCUAUUUACGCGCACAAUGCAUUAAUUACUCCCAAUCUUCUCAUUCUAAAUUCCAUCGCUCACGCCUAGUAUUAUAUAUCUUGACCUUGGUACAAUUCGAUGAUCUAUAUAAAUAGUCGGAAUUUUAUUGGUAUUCAUGUAGCUUUUUUUUUUAUCAAAAUUAACAAAUAUUUAGAUAGUUGAAAUCUAAAUAGAAUAACAUAUAAAAAUUAAGGACCUAACAGGAAAAAUAUUAGUAAAAUUAGUAAUUCCAAAAUUUAAAAAAAAAAAAAAUUGGUGAAGGUUAGGAAUCAAUGGUGCAAGCAUUUUCAAAAUUAAAGGGAGCAAUGCUACCCCACACACCCUACCUAUAAUGUAAAACUUACAACCGUCUGCAUUUUGUCGUGUUUAUUAACCCACUUUUCUCAUCAUUAUUCUUAAAUCUAAAACUCCUAAAGGGUUGUAUUAAUUUUCAUUUAAUUAUAGGCAUAAGAUGUACAUCUCUAUAAAGAAUAAACAGAUAAUAUAUCUCUAAAACUCCUAAGAGGAUGUCGAUACCGUCUGAGAGGGGCUGCCGGGGAGGGGUUCAAAGACUGACGCUUUAAAGGCUUCGAUCUUGGUGGUUGCCACGUGGUGGACGAUCUGGCGUGAAACAAACAACGUUAUUUUUAGAAAUCUACCUACCAACGCUAUCUCAUUUUCUCAUCGUAUUGGAGUGCUGGCGAAGAAGUGGGCUGAUUUUUGUAGAGCUGGAAAAUGUCGGCAUUUGUUAGACUCUUUAUUUUCGUUACAUGUACCCGCUUACCCUCAGCUUUUUCUCUUCGUUCUUUUUUUUUUUUCUCUUUUUUUUUUCGAUCCCUUGAAGUCUUUGCUGCCUCAUUCUAUAUAGCUAAUUUUAUUUGCUUAAUAAAUAAAACAGAUAACAUGCUAUUUUUCUCUAAAAAAAUAAUAUAUAAAUCUUACACUCCCCUUCAUCUAAAGACGGAAUUUUAGUCUUGUUUUGUCAACAAUGUUUUUUUUUAAAUACUAAAAUUCGAAGGGCUUUAUCAGCCAGCCUUAAGAUACAUAGAGGAACAUAAAUCAUACAUUCUCUUUCGGAUGUGUACAUAACAUUCAGGGUGCGUUUGGUUCGCAUUAUGAAAGAUUACUAUUCCUAUUCAUUCUAUUACUAAAAAUGUGUAAUUCCUAUGUUUGGUUCGCAUGGUAAUAUUAAUUAGCCAUGUUAUUUAAUAUUACAAAAAAUAUACAAUUAAUUAAUUUAUUUAUUUAUUUAAUUUUAGAUAAUGUUAUCAAAAGUUUCAACAUCUUUUUUAAAAAAAGAGAGAGAGAGUAUAAGUUAGAGAGAGAGAGCAUAAUUAAAAAAAUAGAAAGAAAAAUAUAGUCGAAAUUAGAGGGAGUGAGAGAGUUGAAAUUUUAGAAAGAGAGAGAGAGAGAGAAAGCUUAGUUUAGAGAGAGAAAAAAAGUUGAAUUUUAGAGAGAAAAAUAAGUUUAGAGAGAAAUAUAAGGUUAGAGUGUAAUGAAAAAUAAUAUCAAUUAGCCGGCGGGUAGGAAGAAAGAAAGAGAUUAGACAUAUUAUGAUUACCCCAAUCCAUUAAUAUGAGAAUACCCACCCUCCCUCAAAGGAAUGAGAUUACUACUUUGGGAUGAAUCUUAUUCCCAAGUGAAUCCAAUAAUACCAACUAAAUUACUUAGUGCGUUUAGCCAAACACCGUCAUAUUUUUUUUAUUCCCAUUGAAUUAUUAGGAACCUUUAAAAGAUAGCGCGAACCAAACGCACCAUUAGUAUUUCCAAUUAAAAGUCCCCUUUUUGCAUAUGUACCCUUAAAAGUAUCCAUAUUAUAGUGGAUACCCCUUCGGAACUCGGAACUAUGGCCAAUCCCAGCCUCUAUACUUAUUAUUUUAAAAAUAUCAAGUCCUUAAUAUGUUAAACCCAUACCGAUACAAACUGAAUUUAUUUGGUUUUUAUAUAUACUUUAGAAGAACUAACUUUUUCAUACCCUUAUCUUUUUUCGGGUAAUUUUUAAUCAAAAAGCUUCUAAAAGCAUCAAAAUCUUAGUGCUUAUAACCUUUUUAUCCCUCGGAUCCAUAUUUUUACUCAUUGAAUUAGAAGUCAACUGACACGAGCCCUAAGAUCUUUUAGUCGGAGAGAUUUAUACAUACAAAUAUGGACUAUUUAAUUUGAAGUACAUGAAGAGUAAUUUCCAAAAAGAGUGUAGAUACAUGCAAAUUUGAAAACUUCUCAAAAGAUUACUCUCCAAUACAUAAAUGCAAAAUAAAUAAAUAAAUAAAUAAAUAAAUAAAAUGGGGCCGAGAUCUGCAAAAGGGGGGCAGUUGGGAUCUCAUACGGCAGCAGUUUACUGUUUUUACGGGCCCCACGCGUGCGUAUGGUGGGAGUAGUUGGGGUAGUUGUUUUCGCUGCAAAGAGGGAUUAUUCUCUACGUGAUCACAUGAGCACGAACAUUAGAGCACUAAUAUGAAGUGAGGUAGUGUGUGUAUAUAUAUUAUAUUAUAUUAUAUUAUAUUAUAUUAUACAUAUAUAUUUAGCCUAAAUUUGAUUAUAAAUAAGCACGAAUAUUGGGGCAUCUAGAGCGCCACAUAUUCUAUAGGCUCUGCAAUGGAAGAGGCUAUAUAUAUAUAUGGGGGACCAUAUAUUUGGAUGAUGGAAUCAUCUCGAUAAUAGGAUAUGUUAUUUUUAAUUAAUAAAUAUACAUAACAAGCAUAAUAAGAUGGAGUAACUGCUAACCAAUUUCGUGUUAGUUUGAUAUUAUAUUUAUUUGGAGAGUUUUGUACCUUCACUCCUAGAAUAAUAUUUAUGGUUAGGAUGGCAAAGAGACAAGUUUUUAUAUCGGCCAUGUGUUAAAUAGCUCGAACCAAUUAUGCAUACAUCCAAAUGCAUGCACAUUAACGAUUCUUGUCGCUGUCAUAUAUAUAUAUAUAUAUAUAUAUAUAUUAUUCUUAACAUUAAUUAAAACAUCAUCUUUUAACCAUCCAACACGCCUCAAAACAAACACAAAAUUUAAUAAAUCAAAGUUCACAUAUUUUUUUCUAUUCACAUAAUAUAUAGCUUGGGUAAUCAUUGCUUAAUUAUUAGAAAAGGCCUAUUAAUUAAAGAGAACCAUGAUAUUCGUUCUAUAGGAAUGCAUUUUCCAUCUCGUAAUAUAUUCAUGGAAAUGGUAAAAUUAAUAUUAAAAAAAUUUGAUUACAAAACUAAAACUAGAAAGAUUUUUAAAAGAGUGAAGUGGUUAACGAGAAAGAAAGAUUCGGACAUAAAUCUAUGACCCUGGUAUAAAUGAAAUUUAAUAGUCAUGAUGCGUCGUUGGUGGAGAAUAUUUUUUGUUAAAUAUAAAAUUUAUGCUAUAGCGAAUAUAUUACAAACCACUUACAUUACAAAAUAUUAAAUUAGCGAGUAUAUGCAUUAAGUGUACACAUUAAAAAUUUAAAAUUAAGUAAAAUCAUUAAUAAAGUUUAUGUGCGAUAUGAUAGUACUCGAUUUUGACCUGUGACGUGUACCCCAAUAACAUGCCCUACAAUCGAGGUAUAGGUAUAAGAAACAAUAUUUUUUCAUUGAUUGACCUAUCUGUGGACGAAAUCUAAUAAGAGAUUCGGAUAGUAUUUAAUGUGUGCGUUACCCUUUCUAUGAACACAAGUCAACGUCUAAUAUUAACGAAAGUUUAACAAUAUUAUUAUUGCUAUAUAUGCCGCUGAAUUAUUCUUUUGGGUUCUCAAAUGAGGACGAGCACAACACUUUGGUCCUUAAAAUUUAAUUUUUUGUAAUUAAUGUCUGGUUCAACUUUAUAAAUUGUUGUAAUUAAGUUAUAUAACCUAAUUUCGUUGACUAAAUAUUAAUUUGUUGUCGACGUAAAGGUGAUGCGGCAUCUUAAUUAAUUAUUGUCGCGUCAUCGAUUACAAUAUUAACAUAUUAUUUCUAUAUUAGCGGCACAUCAAUAUUUAGUUAAUUACAUUAGGUUAUGGAACUUGAUUGCAAUAAUUUUAAACGUUCGAGCUAGAAAUUAUAAUAAAUUAAACUUUGAGAACUAAAGUGUCACACGAUUCAUAGAAUCAGAGUGUAAUUUAGCCCUAUAUCCACUAUUUGUUUGAUUCAUAAACUUCAAGAUGCUACCGGAAUAAAAUUUUCAAACAUAACAUUCCCAGGAAAAAAAAAAAAAAACUUUUGCGCGUAAACAUACUUUUGUUCAGUUUGCAUCGUAAGUUUUCCUAAUACAUAUAGUUUAAUACGUAUUGUUCAGUUUCUUAAUACGUAUUUAUAUAGCUUAAUGUGGGCGUUGUUCCGGCAUUUUAAUAAAAGGUGUCAUAGUAUCUCUAUAAGAUAUCCGACCGUUUGUUGCCGUGAUAAUGAUAGUGGUAGUGGCAUCGGCAGUAGAGUUGGCAAGGAUCAUAGUCGUACCUGCGACUGUGGUUGGAGGUGGUGACUAUGGUACUGGUAAUGACGUCAAAUUUGGUGUUGAUGGUCAUAGCCGCAAAAAUGGUGCUUGUGGUGCAUGGCGGUCGGCCGAGAUAGUGACCAUGGCCGACAGUCAUAAAAUAGCGGUGAUUAUGAUCGAUGGUCGCAUUAACGAUAUAUACAAUAGUGGCAUUGACAUCUCUAGCGGUGGUUAGGAAGACAGAGUUAACAACAGCGAUGUUCGGUUGCGGUAGUGAUACUAGCAAUGCAUCGACGCAAUGGUGCCGGAGAUGACCGGUGAUAGCGGUGAUGGAUACAACAGAAGUUGAUAGUAUUGGUGGUAAAGACGAUAGUACUUGUAGUAAUGAUAGCGGUAGGGCUUACGGUCGUGAUAUCGCUAGUAUUGGUGGUAGUAGUAAUAUUAUUCUACUAGUGGUGACGAGUUGGUACCACAGGAAAAUAUUGUAGUAAGAGAGAUUUUUAGUUUUAUAAGAUGCAAUUAAGUAAAACCGUCUCUAUGAACUGUUGAGAUGGUUGCAAGCACUAUCUCCAAACUGCCUUGAAAGAUACCUCCUCUAUAACAUAGAGGCGGCCGUUCCACCGAGAAUGCUUUGCAGCGGUCCUAUAGAGACAAUUUAGACCUCUCCAACUAAUUUAUUUAUUUAAUUUUAUUUAAUAUUUUUUAUCCCUCAAAUAGUAAUAUAAAGAUGGUUUAAGCCUCCGUUACAAAUGAUAUUUUGUAUAGGCGGUUUAAACCCCUUUUGUUGGCUAAGUAAUUUGUUGUUUCGUAGCGAUUUAAACUAUCUCUACACGAAAAAUAUUGUAUAAAGUUUACUGAAAUAAUUCUUUUAGCCUACAUUUAUGACCAAAAAAUUACAAAUCCUUUGAAAAUCAAAUUACUUUAAAUAUUACUGCAAGUUAAAUAUUAUAUUUUUCAACAAUUAGAAAAUAGUUAUGAUGAUAACUUGAACUUUUUAAUAUCGCCAAUUUUUUUGUUAGUUCAAUAUAUGUCCAGCUUAUGAAUGAAUGUAAGUGCUAAACAAUCCUCUAUAUCUUACAUCAUUUAAUAAAAAGAUACCUGCUACAGUGUCGUCGGCUGUUGUGCAUGUCCUCUUUUACUAUACGCCCGUCCGAGGAGGUGGCAGGUGAUAUCCCCGCAGACUACCUUUGGGUAGAUGGAACUGAAGCUGAAGACUGCACCAGUGAUGCGCCCAUGAAGCAGUCGAUUGCCAUGUGGCCCAGUUGGCCACAUUUGUAGCAUCUCCCAUCCUGUUGCUCGCACUGCAGCAGUCGGUGGCUCCUAUCACAGAUAGGAAUGUCAAUGGGUAUGGAUACUCGAAAUUUUAUUCGAAUCUGAACCCGAAUAAAAUGGAUAUAUCCGACUAAAUGGAUAUGGAUUCGGAUAUGGAUAUUACAAAUAGAAACCCGACGGAUAUGGAUUCGGAUAUGGAUUUUGACUAUACCCAACCUGAACUCGAACCCAAACCCGACCCGAACCCGAAUUUAUUUUGUAUUAUAUAUAUAUAUAUAUAUAUAUAUAUAUAUAUAUUUGAUGUUAUAUUUGAAUUUGUAUUUUAAANAUAUAUAUAUAUAUAUAUAUAUAUAUAUAUAUAUAUAUAUAAAUUUGAUGUUAUAUUUGAAUUUGUUUUUUAAAAAUUUAGAUUUAUUAUAAUAUAUAUAUUUUUUGAAAUAUUGAAAAAAGAAAUAAUUGUUUCGGGUUCAAAUUUUCGGGUUCGGGUUCGGGUUCGGGUUUGGGUUUCGGAUUUUUGGUCGGGUUUGGGUUUGGAUAUGGAUUUUUAAAAUCCGUCGAGUUUAGGUUUGGGUUCGGGUCUCAGGUUUGGAGUUGGGUUCGGGUUCAGGUUUUUGAAAAUCCACCCCGAAUCCGACCAGUUGACAUCUCUAAUCACAGAUCACAUACCAGGUAAGUAAUCGAGGCGCAUCAGUGCGAUUGUGACUGCGAGCGUGAGUGCUUAGGAGGCCACUUGGAACUUGAUUGGCCCCCAAAACCUCCCGAGAACUACUUAUUUUCUUUAUCUUUCUCCAAGGCCUUAUACUCUAUGCGCACCACAGAUUUGCCCCUCUUCACCAAGGGCACAGUACACAACCGCUCGAAAGGUCAGCAGAUCGAGCAGUUGGAACUUCACGCAAAUCUCCCGUUGGAGGUAGGGGUGGCAAUCCAGCUCACUAUUUGCGAGCCAGCUCGUGUUCGGCUCGAAAUGAGCUCGAGAUCGGCUCGCUCAUUUAGUAAACGAGCUGAACACGAGUUGGAUUUUUCAGCUCGUUUAAUAAACGAGCCGAACACAAGCUAGGGUGAGCUCGCUCGUGUUCGGCUCGAUAACAGCCCAAUUAUAUUUAUUUUAUAUUAAUAUAAUUUUUUUAUAUAUAUUAUACUCAUAUAAAUAAAUAUAUAAAUAUAUUUGCAUAUAAAUAUAUAAUACAAAUUAUUAUUUUGUAGUAUGUAGCCUAGAUUAUUAUUUUUUGGUUUGUAGCCCAAUUUAACAAUAAAGCCCAACUUAUCUAUAAAAGAGUCCUAUUUAUAUUUGUAAUUUCAACCGUUAGAUUAAAAUCUAAUAAAUGAUAUUACAUCAACUUUUAACUCUCUAUAUUCCUAACCCUAGCUCUCUUUUUCCAACUUUUUCACCCUUAACACAGGCACACAGCCUCCUUCUAUCUUUCUCUCUCUCUCUCUCUCUCUCUCUCUCUCUCUCUCUCUCUCUUUCUCUCAGCCACACUUCAGACUUUAUGCAGGUCACACACCCCCGGCGAGCGGCUAGCCGGCAGCGCACUUUUCGCCAUUCUCACACCCCCGGAUGGCGGCACGCCGGCAGCACACUCUUUGCCGUUCACACACCCCUGGCUGCGCACUCUUCGACGUUCGCACACCCCCGGCAGCGCAUUCUUCGCCGUUCACACACACCGAUGGAACUCUGGUAGCAGCGCGUUCAUUCUUCGCCGUUCGCUUUCAACAGCACACCCCGAUCUUCAUCUUUAUUUUUCCACUGAGCUAACGAGCCGAACACGAGCUAGAUCGAAUAAAUUGCAAGCCAAUCACGAGCUAGACUUUUUGAGCUCGUUACGAACUCGAGCCGAACACGAGCCGACCUUGAAGACUUUCGAGUCGAGCUCGAGCUGGUUCCAACUCAGUUAUGUUUGGCUCGUUGAUAGCCCUAGUUGGAGGUCAUGCUCGAUGCUCAAAGUAUCGAGCCUAAAAGUAAUAUACCAAAACUUCGGUAGGUUGUACCGAACUUCAGUCAAAUCGACCGAGGUGCGGAGUUGGACAAGUUAGAGAGGUCCGUUGAGCAUUCCGAGUGUUUCGGAGUGUAUAUCAUGAGUGUUGGGACCUUGGAGAGCAAGCUGGGAGAAUUUCAGCUCGAAUUGUGCUGAAAAUGCUCUCGGGGUCCGGACCCUGAGUGUAAGGUCCGAACCCCGUACCCGCAAAAGCGUGGGUUUGAUCAGUACAGCAAUUUGGUGAGGGGCCUAAGUGUAAUUAUUAUUGGGGAGUGUUAUAUGAAGGUUCUACACCCUUCUCCUCAUUUCCCCUCACUUAUAUACAAAGAGAAAAGUUCUCUCUUUCUCUCUCUAGAACUCCUCUCACUUUCCUCUCCCUCUCUCUCUCAUUCUCUCACUAGGGUUGCUCCAAGAGAGGGCUUGGUGGAGAAGAAGACUCGCUAGAGGGUGAUGUUGGUUUUGUGCAAGAGGUUAAGGCAAAAACUUGAACUCAAUGUGAGUUCUUAUGGUUUAAAGCUAGGGUUUUAAGUAAUCUCUUCUAGUUGUUGUAUCUAGAGGUUUUUGUGAGGGAUUAUUUCAUGAAUAUCCAUGUAUUAUGUGGUAUUUGUGGAUUAUGGAAACCCUAGGGUUAGAAAGAGGGUUUUGUAAACUAUGAGAUCUAACAUGGGUUUGAUCUCUUAUAGCCCUAAUUGGUAGAUAAACUGACGCGUUGGGAGACUCGGAUCGAAGUUCCGACGAGUCUACGUCGAGAAAACGAGGAAAAACCCUAUUUCGGCUUCGUUUGCCUUGGAUCGGAGGGAAGCGGUGAUUAUAAAUUGUAGAACUUGGAUUCUAGCAUCUUAGCGACCCUACGAGUGGGGGGUGCUAUCCGAAACAGUUGAAUUUCUCUUUAUGUCUAAUAUCACCCAUUGAGCAUGUAUGUGUAUAUGUAGGAUUCAUGCAUUGUAUGGUUAAAUGAGAAUAUGUGAAUAUUUUUUGCAUGCUUUUAGUAUAAAGAUGCAUAUGAGUUGACAAUGAGCUAUUGAACAAGUGUGAACCCUAUAGAUGUGUGAAUUGAGACACGAACUAAUUGAGUUAAAGAACUUGGUGACAUUGUGACAUUAUGACAAGUGAGUAAAAUAGCACCUUAUGGCAUUAGUGAGCAUAAUGAAUGCUAGAGAAUGAGACACUUUGUGUGUUGUGGCAUUGUGAACAUGGCAUCCUCAUAGUUGUGGAUUGGAUCAUACUCACCUGUAAGUCUUGGCUUGAGGGCGGUACCUCCCCCUCAAGCGAUGAGCUCCGGAGUGGUCAUCAGUGGGUUGUAGCUAGUAUCUCCCCAGAGGACGGUCCCGUCGGGUUGUAGCGGGUAUCUCCCCGACAGUAGGGAUUUAGUUGGUGAGUUUUGGGGCGAAAUCUACGGGUUAUCCAAGAGGAUUGGGUAUUGAAAAUGAAAACUAGCAUGCAUCAUGAGCAUCAUAUAUUGAUAGCAUCUUGUGCAGGCAUAGUAGCUCCAUUUGUUAGAAAUGGCUAUCUAUCUAUCUGUUCUUUCUUCUACUUAUGCCUGAUUAGACCUAGUAGGAAAGUCGGCGGGGUUGGCGGCCGAACCCAUUGGGAAUUUUUUUAUAGUUCUCAUCCCAUCAUUUUUUAGAUCUUAGUGCGAGUGGGGCGGUCGAGGAUCGCUGUAUGGAUACCUUGCAUUAGAUAGCGGGCUGCCAAUGAGUAUAGAGGCACCUUGUGUACUUCAUCUAUUAUAGUUGAUGAAUGAAAUAUGUAAUUGUGUAAUUGAGAGAUGAUCAUGUAUGUAUUGGGAGAAUAAAUGUAAAUAAAAUUGUAAGCUUUGUGUUUGAUUUAAAGUGAUCAAGAUACAUUGUGUAGAUGUAAUAGCUAGCUUAUUUUCACUUGCUUAGUUGUUGCUUGCCCUCGAGCAUGCCAUGUAUAUUGCAAUUAUUCCUGGGCAAAUGCUUUAUAUAUGUUUUGUUGUAGAGCCUUUGGCGGGCAGAAGAGGUUCUGUCCGUUCGGCGUCUGUAGACGUACCCGAACCGACCAAAUCGGCGUUCCCGGGGCAUGACAAAUAUAAUGGUAUCAGAGCAAUGAAAAGUGAAAGUAUAGGAUGGACCUAGAGACCUUAGGAUGGAAACCAUAAGGAUCUAGGUUCGUGAGAGACGAGAAUCUGGAUGUGUGGCGAAAAGUUAAUUGAUUGGGUCGUGUGUGGUAUUCCUCUAAAACGGAUGUUAGAGGUGGAUUCAAAGUGUAGUUUAUUCUCAAUAGGGA
rnacentral:lncRNA from 1 species